GAUGAACGCUGGCGGCGUGCCUAAUACAUGCAAGUCGAGCGAACGGACGAGAAGCUUGCUUCUCUGAUGUUAGCGGCGGACGGGUGAGUAACACGUGGAUAACCUACCUAUAAGACUGGGAUAACUUCGGGAAACCGUAGCUAAUACCGGAUAAUAUUUUGAACCGCAUGGUUCAAAAGUGAAAGACGGUCUUGCUGUCACUUAUAGAUGGAUCCGCGCUGCAUUAGCUAGUUGGUAAGGUAACGGCUUACCAAGGCAACGAUGCAUAGCCGACCUGAGAGGGUGAUCGGCCACACUGGAACUGAGACACGGUCCAGACUCCUACGGGAGGCAGCAGUAGGGAAUCUUCCGCAAUGGGCGAAAGCCUGACGGAGCAACGCCGCGUGAGUGAUGAAGGUCUUCGGAUCGUAAAACUCUGUUAUUAGGGAAGAACAUAUGAGUAAGUAACUGUGCACAUCUUGACGGUACCUAAUCAGAAAGCCACGGCUAACUACGUG
rnacentral:rRNA from 1 species